GACGAACCGUGCAACCGUUAUUCGGAAUCACUGGGCUUAAAGGGCGCGUAGGCGGGUUGGAUAGUCUGCGGUGAAAUACUUCAGCUUAACUGGAGAACUGCCGUGGAUACUACCAGUCUCGAGGAGGGUAGGGGCAUCUGGAACAGCCGGUGGAGCGGUGAAAUGCGUUGAUAUCGGCUGGAACUCCGGUGGCGAAGGCGAGAUGCUGGACCCUUUCUGACGCUGAGGCGCGAAAGCCAGGGGAGCGAACGGG
rnacentral:rRNA from 1 species